CUCAGCGUUGGUGUUUUCAGACAGCGGAGGCCAUCUUGGUUAUGCGAGCCACUAAGAAGAGACUGUAGUACCAUUUCAGUCUCCGGGCUGCGACUCCCUCGGGAGUCUUAAGCAGGAUCUGGCCCAAUCUUUUAAAAUGUUGACUCUAUGUGAAGGCUGGAUGAACCAGGACUGAUGGCACACCUAUACCCGGCAGGAAGAGCCAGUCCUUAGAUAUUGCACAGGUUGCGCAAACAACCAGACCCUGCAGAUCAAAGAAUCUGGGAAUAUUUCAUACUUUAGCUCAUCACACAGUCCUGUAGAGCCAACAAUAGUGUUGUGCAUGUUAGCCAAAGCUUCAUCUUUGAGACAAACAAGGUUAAGGUUUUGAGCCCUCCAGCUUUUGGGAGCUUUUAAGGAGCAUCUUGAGCAACAAUGGCACAAAAGAAAGAUCCAGUCUGCCAUGCUUUUUGAGCACUCGUGGUGAGUGGAUUGAUUUUGGAAAGAGAUGGUCUGUCAUCCAUGGGCCUCAGGUCGAUUGUCAGAGCCUCAUGGUUUCUUCUGGAUCAACCCGCUAUUGCUGAUUUGUGAAUGGUGCUUGCAAGUGGAUUGAGAGGCCACUGCUGGUUCAUGAAAACUGAACUGCUGAUCUCCUGACAAUGCAGACUAUGCUUACUCCAAAGAACUAUUUCUAAACAGAUCUACUUGACAUGUGAACUGGAUCAUACUUCUGUGUAACCUGGUAAAGAAUACAGAGUAAGAGAAAUGUUAUUCCAAAGAGGAGGAGAGUAAGUGUAUCAGAAAAGUACGUCCUGGGAAGCCUGAAAAGUACAAAAAAGGGUGUGGCGUGGCCUCUGGGUUGUCCAGCCUCUGGUUCCUAGAAAUCUAGGUAGUGUCAGUCAUGGACUCCAUCUCAUAACAUGGACCUCAAAUUUGACCAGUGAUUGGUUGUCCACUAUCACAAGUUCUGCUCCAUCAUUAUGCCAGCACAUCUUAGAGCCUCCCUCAGCCCUGAAGCAGGCUGAUCCAGACUUUGACCCUGCUGUCACUGAGAAGGAGCUUACCUAGGGUUGGAGCCUUCCGACCUAGAUGGCUCUUUUGUUCUGUCACCUGCCACUGCUCUCUCCAAAACACUGCUACCUGCUGAAAAGCCCUUGAGACAUUCCAGAGGAACAUCCUAUUCUGCACAUCGCCUACAGGCUGGUUCCAGACACCAAGAAUGGACUGGCGGGGGAUGGGCCUUCCUUUUAUAAGUAGACUCUCUUAGUAAACUGGCAGGCCUUGAACAGAAUCAUGUCUUGGUCUCCAUUAAUCUCUCGAUGGCUAAAUCUAUUUCAGCCACAGCCUGCCUCCCUGGUGUA
rnacentral:lncRNA from 1 species